GGGGGUGCCAGGUUUCGACGGGGGUAUUCCGAGGCGAUAGAUGCAUACCGCGGCCCACGCUCCGCGAUAUCAAGCUUGGGAAACACAAUCGCGAAUAGCGAACUUGCACUGGCUGCUUAAUGCGGCCACGCUUCCUCCGGCAUCGCCUGUGUGCAGGAUGUGAAGCGUCACUUUAGCAGGCUGCCCCUCCCGGCCCGUGCUCAGGGACCAGGAGGGUAAGACCAAUCUGGGCUAGCCUGUCGCGAUGCUUCGUUGCUUCCACGGUCACGGCGGGCGAAACUUUAGGAAGCAACUAAGUAUGUAGAGGCUAUCGCUCAGGGCUUCCGGACGAGAGUUCGAUUCUCUCCACCUCCAUAG
rnacentral:tmRNA from 1 species